rnacentral:lncRNA from 1 species
AUGAAAGUUUGUACACUGGACAAGGAAUAAGGCAUAAUCUACCAAGGGAGGCAGAAGAAAUAACACAGAAAAUUUGAGGAAGCUUUUGGGAAGUUCACUCAGGUGAGUGAGUGAAAGCCAGACAGAGUGAGGCAGCAAAAUGAUCUUGUAGGAGAAAGACAUUUAGCCACAGUAGAUGCAAGAGAGAGCAGAACCACUCUGUGAGGACAACUCACUGAAAGAUGCAUGUGAGGAAGACAGGGAACUCAUUCUUUGAAAACAAAGACUGGAUCAAUAGGAUGAGGAUGGAUAGGGUGAGGAAGGAGAGGAUGAGGAGGUGAGACAGAACUGGGACCAUGAAAGUGCUCCACUGAGGGACUGAAGCCUGCUAAGAGGGGAAGCUGGAGGGGGUGCUUUGUGCUUUCUGGACCAUCACUGCUGAGCCAGGAUUCAGUUACAGAGCAUCUUCUGAAGGUAAAGGUCUAGUUCUGUUAACAGUGAGUGAGCACAGAUGAUAAGACUGGAGAUAUGUAUGCUGCUGCGUUCUGAUUCAGCUUUGGAGCAUACUGCAAAGACGUUUAUGUAAAGAUCGUGAACAGAAGCUUACUGACCAUUUUGUCAAGGAAAGCUAGAAGAGGCUGUAUUUCUUAUCCAAAUGAUUCAACUGUUAUCAGACAGAUGCUCUUACUUGCAGGGGCGAGAAUGACCCUCAGCACAAGAUACAGGUGAAUUAGACUGGUCUGCAGCUGAGCAAUUCAAUGCAGGCUAAGACAAGGUAGUAGGAAUGCUGUUAGGCUGCUCAUUGGUGUUGGUUAGCAUGCACUGCCCGCAUCGUCUGUGUUAGCAACAGCUAUUUAUCUGAUGGAACAGUGUUGACAGAACUUGGACUUGUGCCAAACCUCCUGAUGAGAAACAAGGUGGAACAGGCUGGCUAGAGGGAACGUUUCCUUUUUAGGAAGCAGCAGCAAGAAGAUACAUGGAAACAAGGUUGGAACACACUAUCACUGCUGCAGAUACCAGAACCAUUUCUAAGU